rnacentral:lncRNA from 1 species
AUUGCUGUGAGAAUUAUGAAAUUUGGCUCUUUGAAGCUUCUCAAGGCUGGACACAUCUUGAGCAUCAUCUGCAUUCAUCACCAGACCAAAUAAGAAACAUCUCUGCAAGGAGAUACAGCAGUGAUGCAGCAACAGGAGUGCCCCUGGGAUGUUCCUGGCACUGCAACAGUAGCAACAGUGGCUUGGAAGACCUUUGGCUUGCUUCCUUCCAAGAGGCUGAAGUGACUCACUCAGAUCCUCCUCUGAGAAAAAAUCACAAUGCUCAAGACUCGGAAGGAAAGCCAAAGGGAAAAGACUUCAAAACCAAUGAUUCAACAUGGGACCUGCUGCUAGUUGGGCCUGCUGCUAGGAUCCCCAGCCACCCAGUGCCAGAUCCACUGUCUGAAUGAAAGCCUGGCAUAGAGAUUUCUGCUGCGCCUGUUAUGGAGUUUCCUUCUCUGUGCCCAAGAGUCAUGUCUUCCCAGGUGAUAAGCAAGCACUGCUAGAAGACAGGGCAAAG